UACGUAGGGGGCAAGCGUUGUCCGGAUUUAUUGGGCGUAAAGAGCGUGUAGGCGGUCAGGUAGGUCCGUUGUGAAAACUCGAGGCUCAACCUCGAGACGCCGAUGGAAACCAUCUGACUAGAGUCCGGAAAGAGGAGAGUGGAAUUCCUGGUGUAGCGGUGAAAUGCGCAGAUAUCAGGAAGAACACCCGUGGCUAAGGCGGCUCUCUAGUACGGUACUGACGCUGAGACGCGAAAGCGUGGGGAGCAAACAGG
rnacentral:rRNA from 1 species